rnacentral:snRNA from 1 species
GUGCUCGCUUCAGCAGCAUAUAUACUAAAAUUGGAAUGAUAUAGGAAGAUUAGCGCAAGGAUGACAAGCAAAUUCGUGCUGUGUUCCAUAUCUAA